AUCCAGCUAACGAGUCCCGAAUAGGGCGAAACGUGUGUGUUGGAU
rnacentral:hammerhead_ribozyme from 1 species